rnacentral:lncRNA from 1 species
CACAAAGUUAAAAAAAAACAAGAAAAAUUAUUUUCAUCACUUUUAUGAUUACGUAUUUAUUUAAUUUAGAACUAAACUACAUAGUUAAUGAGGGAGAAUCAAUGAAUUUCUUAUUCGUUUAUUUUGAUUUUUAUUAUCUAUUUUAAAAUUUAAAUGAAAUUUAAUUGCUUUAAAAAAAACUAUCUUAAUCAAACUCGGUAUGAAUAAAUGUCUUGACCCAGGAGCACUACAGAACGAAUGUCUUGGUAUUAGUUUUUGGGCCUCGUCUAAAUGACCGUUCAGUCGGGCUCUAUUUAAAACCCAUUGAAUUACUUUAAUAUUCAAAGAUACCAUUACCCAUGUCCCGUUGACCUUGUUGUGUCAUGGGCUCGCAAUGCUGUUCUUUUGGGCUUAGCAGGAUGAUUUUGCAGUUUGAUGUAUCUCAACGGAGCGAGAAACAUUUGGCUCAGCAGGCACGGUUAGGUACUUGGGGGACAAUAUCACGUGAUGUAGUUCCGCAGGAGUUCGGAGGUGUUUCGAUUUCAAAUCCAUGAUCCUCCACCGAUUUCAAAUCCUAUUACAAACUCGCAGUGGAGGAUCGUGGUGCGAACGGUGGAGGAUGAAUACGAUAAUUGAACGUUCGAAUGUGGUAUAUACACCCAGUAUGGUUCUAAAAACGCGUCCUUUAUAAGUAUAAUAAUUUCAAUC